AGUCCCCGGCCGCGCGCAGGAGCUAGGUCUUCAGGGAAGUGAUGUUGCUCGGGUCUCUCCUCCCCUUGCUCUGGAAAUCUGGCGUCCGUCUUACCUUUUAGUGUCCAAGAACAACUUUUUCAAAAAGUUCAUAUAUUAGCUUGAAUUUACAAACUGCUGGCCUAUUUUUUUAAGUAGAAAACGGCCAAACAUCAGCAUUCAGCAGUUACACAUGGUUCAACUUAACAGAUGUGUUUUUUCAAAAAUGUUCUUGAAAGGAAUAGGUAAAGCUGUAGACCCAAAUAAUUUUGCACCCCACUGGUUGGAAAUGCUGGGGUACUUUCCCUCUAGCCCUGUAGGAAAAAACCCUAUACUGAAACCCAAAAAGCACAAAACACGGGUCUUCCAAAAACUCUUACCUAAUAGGACUUUCACCUUACACAUUGGUGGAGAGAGAUAACAUGACCCAAGCCUCCGUCUUAAUAACAUAAACUGCUGAAGCAAAGGCUCUUUCUUUUAAUACUCUGUGAAGUUCACAGCUGGGUUUGAACAUGUUGGAUCCCAGGUGGCAGCAGAGUGGGCUGGAGCAAUCAUCCAAGAGAUGGUGAGAAACUUGGGCCUGGAGACCCAAAGCAAGGUUGAGGCUGGGGAUAAAACUUUGUUAGUAGGGUAAACUCACAGAGGAAGUAUGUGUAUACAUAUCUUAAAGGAUAAACAAUGCUAAGUGAAUACCCGAGUUGGCAGAAAAUACCUUAUCAAAUAUCCCCUCACUGAUGUAGCAUUUUUCAGAAUCAUUCUGCUCUGCCAAUAAGUUUCUGCAAAGCCUCAAACUCUCCAGGAUACAUUAAUAUCUUUUAAACUUCCCAGAGUUGCCGUGAUUUUCAAAGCAUUUCUCUUUCCCAGAUCCAAGAUCAAACUCAGCUGAAGUCAGUUCCUCUCAACCUGCCCUGGCAUCAAAGUCUCAAAGCAAGUGGGGGCCAACCAGCAACAACCCCAGGGGAGCUUUGACAACCACAGAAUUUGAGAUGGCUGGUAAUCGUUCUCAGAACAUAAAACACAAAGCUGGACUGUAGUGGAACAAUCACAGUUCACUGCAGCAUCGGCCUCCUGGGCUCAAGUGAUCUUACUGCCUCAGCUUCCCGAGUAGCUGGAACUAUGGGUGAGCAACACCACAGCCAGCUAAUUUUUUAAGUUUUUGUAGAGACGGGGUCUUGCUGUGUUGCACAGGCUGGUCUCAAACUCUGGCUUCAAGUGAUCCUUCCACCUCAGCCUCCCAAAGUGCUGAGAUUACAGGUGUGAGCCACUGCCCCAAUGGUAUCUUUAUAUUAUUUUUCCUUACAAGUUACUUCAAAUUCUUGAUGUUGAAUUUCAUCUCACUGACUUCAGGCUUUUAAAACACAUGGGAAUACUUGAGACCUAAGAAUGGUUGUGAGUCAAAUAAAAAAGUAGAACUAAA
rnacentral:lncRNA from 1 species